rfam:Solenopsis invicta Si_gnG.contig20345, whole genome shotgun sequence.
CAAACGGCCCUUUUCAGGGCCACCCCUUUUUAACACAAAGAAUAAU